UCGGGAAAUGCAGACUCCCGGCCAGACGGUGUCCCGUCCAAGCUCUGC
rnacentral:ncRNA from 1 species